AGGAGAACUAAUGAUUGUUGGGUAUAUUGGUUCAAUACUUCUGAAGUUGACAUCAGGUAGAAUGUACUAAGUAUGAUCUGAAAGUAAUAGGCAAGUUGUUUUGUAGCACAAGACAUCUCAGAAUAAGUAAAAGUUUCUUUCAAUGGCCAGUCAACCUCGGUUACAGGUUAAGCUCUGAUUUUCAUGUUUUGUUACUUUUUCCUGCUUGUAUGGUUAGAAUCUAUAGUACGCAUAUUUUUUUUGCAGGUCUUAGCUGCUAGCAAGAAUAAAAUCUUUGCAC
rnacentral:lncRNA from 1 species